rnacentral:ribozyme from 10 species
GCUGCUCGUAAUAAUCACACACCUCUUCCUGGGAACACCAGUCUACGAUCGUAUGAUCGGCGAAGAUGUGAUG